UACGAAGGGUGCAAGCGUUGUUCGGAAUCAUUGGGCGUAAAGCGCGCGCAGGCGGAUUGAUAAGUCAGGUGUGAAAUCUCGGGGCUCAACCUCGAAACUGCGCCUGAAACUAUUAGUCUAGAAUGUCGGAGGGGGCAGGGGAAUUUCACGUGUAGGGGGUAAAAUCCGUAGAGAUGUGAAGGAACACCGGAGGCGAAGGCGCCUGCCUGGACGACUAUUGACGCUGAGGCGCGAAAGCGUGGGGAGCAAACAGG
rnacentral:rRNA from 1 species